rnacentral:rRNA from 1 species
UACGUAGGGGGCAAGCGUUGUCCGGAGUUACUGGGCGUAAAGCGUGCGCAGGCGGUUCGUUGUGUCUGUGGUGAAAGCCCCGGGCUUAACCUGGGAAUGGCCAUGGAAACUGGCGAGCUGGAGUGUGGCAGAGGGGGGUGGAAUUCCGCGUGUAGCAGUGAAAUGCGUAGAGAUGCGGAGGAACACCGAUGGCGAAGGCAGCCCCCUGGGUUGACACUGACGCUCAGGCACGAAAGCGUGGGGAGCAAACAGG